rnacentral:rRNA from 1 species
UACGAAGGGGGCUAGCGUUGCUCGGAAUUACUGGGCGUAAAGGGCGCGUAGGCGGACAUUUAAGUUAGAGGUGAAAGCCCAGGGCUCAACCCUGGAAUAGCCUUUAAUACUGGAUGUCUUGAGUUCGGGAGAGGUGAGUGGAAUGCCGAGUGUAGAGGUGAAAUUCGUAGAUAUUCGGCGGAACACCAGUGGCGAAGGCGACUCACUGGCCCGAUACUGACGCUGAGGCGCGAAAGCGUGGGGAGCAAACGGG